AUUGCAUUUAUCACCAUAUUGUGAUAAAUGCUUUUAAUACCAGUGCAAGAGCGAUAACUCGUGCGUUCUUGGUAGUGGUUAAACAUUAUUGAGACCAUGAGUUUUAAAUAGAGGACGCAAUAUAAUCAAGCACCUUAUGACCCCGAUUUUCAUAGUCUACCGAAAAAGCUAGAAGGGCAGACAUGUUGCAAAAUUUCAUCUCUAGUCUGCACACUUUGGAAGGAAAAUGUUUUGACCCACCGUUAAGCAAAAUUAUUUCCAUUUUUGUGCAUUAUUCUGUUCCAAGGAUACGGUUUAUAGACACUGUAAGUAAUUUAUGCGAACAAUAACAUGAUGCCCCUAAUUAUAAAGGCUUGAAUUUAUAAUCGUUGCACUUUGUGAUAUCUGUGACUGUACAUCAUGCGCUGAUGCUGUGGAUAGAAUGACAUUGAAAGUCCUUAUUCUGGGGCAUUCAUUUAUACGCAGAUUUGAGAACUUUGUUUGUAUCAACUAGUUCUGACCAUCGGGUGACGCCGAAUUUAAAUCUUAAUUCAGAGGAGCUACAGAUUUUCUAUUUGGGUAUGGGGGAGCGUCACUGGCUCAAAUUCGUGCGCAAGGCACUCGUUACGUAAGAGACUUGCGUCCAGAUGUUGUUUUGUUACAAGCUGUAUCAAACGAUUUGUGUCGGAGAAACACAUCAGUGGAAGACAUUUUUCAUGAACUUGCGGACUUUGUAAUUUAACUCCGUGAUGCGGAAGAUGUGAAAAAAGUAGUUGUGCUUCAGACAUUGCAUAGAAUUCCCCCGACAAGACGUAUCAGGUUUCAUGUGGACACAGAGUGCAAGAGAGUUGAUGAAUUAAAUAGACGCAUGUCCUAUUACUUGCAGAAUGUAGAGGGAGCAGCAUUCUUUCGCCUAUCUGGUUUAUCAUAGGAUGGUAUUUCUGGCGGAUGGGGUCCAUUUGAAUAAUCAGGGAAAUAAGGAAUAUUAUAAUAAUUUGAGAGCUGUUAUUGUUUCCUUGAUAAAGUCUAUCAAUAAUGGAAAAUUGGGAGACACUAUUUGUAAACAUAUGCUAGAUAUUUUGCACUAGGUUUGUGUUGAACGUGGAAUAUCUAAUGACAAGACAACUCUCAUCAGGUUUGACUCUAAGGGAUAGAAUGGAGACAGUUAUAUCUAUGCUUAUGUUUUACCUCAAGAUACAUUGACUGAGCUAUGUAACAAUCCCAGGAUAGGUGUCUAGAAUGCUAAACACAAAUUAAGUAAAAAUAACUAAAAAUAAAGUAGAUGAAGUUAUGUAGCUGAUUUUCGUAAUCGAAUAUCUGCCUCCCAGCCAAGAGGGAUAACUCUUAAAAAAAAAAAAAAAAAAAAAUAAAUGAUCAUUUAAUCAAAAAAGACUCAAAUUAAGCUUGAAAUUCAAUCUUUUCGUGCAACAAUUUUUAUUCACGCAACUCAAGUUCUUCGUAGUCUAGAAACUGGGAAAAGUUGACAUUUGUGUCCCAUAAAAGUAUUUAAAAAUCUUUAGAUAAAUCGAAUUCCUUCAAGCUUGCUUUGUUAACCAUGAUAUGAAAUUUGAAGUGAUAUUUGAUGUCUUCCAACGAUAGCACAUGCUUUUUACACUACAGGUAUGUGUUAUAUAAUGAUUGGAAAAAAUAUAAGAAAAAUGCCAUUAUGAUAUGAGUAUUAAUAACAUGCAAUUUUUUUCCAAAUUCCGGGAUACCUAUAAAUGUUUAUUCAGGUACCUUUGGCUAACAACAGGAUAUUAUUACAUACUGACAAGCAAUCGGUCGUGCAAAUAGUCAAUUCUGCUAAAGUCAGACUAUUGGUUAGAAACUUGUAAUUAAUAUCACUUAUGUCACUAUUAUAUUUAAGCAGAGUUCAUUAGUUAGUUAUUAUAUCAAAUUAAAUUGCAGAUUCUAUUUUACAUUGACAGUGGCUUCAUUUUUGGGCUUUGGGUCCUCGUGCAUCUCAGGUCAAUAUUGGAAACGAUAAGUUUCAAUAAUUGAUUCACACCUUUUCAACAAUGUCACAUUGGCAUCAUUAAGCUAGAUGGAUGAACAAAUCACUAACAAUAGAGUCUGAACUUGGUACACCUAGCCAUGGCCAAUUUUUGGUACAUUUCAAUGGUAAUCCCCUAACGACUAACGUGUUAUUAGUUAUCAAACCCCAAUUGCAAUACUAUUCAUUUCUGUAACAUAAACAAAUACCGUUUUAGAUCACACUCUUUUCAGCAGCAGUAUUAUAGGGCAUUCCUGAACAAAUUAUUAAACAAUUGGGCGGGUGGAAUCCAUAACUAUACAUGCCUCAAACAUUGGUGUGAGAUUUGUAUAAUUAAAAUAUUAUAGCUCAAUUUCAAUUUUGGCUUAAACGUAUUAUACAUCUAUCCAUAUAAAAAUUUUAGUUUUUGUAGAUUGUGUGUAGUCUGGGAUAUAGCAUUCAUAGGAUACUGAGCUACCCAAAGUGACAUCAUUGGUCCUUGAGGAAAAAGCCCUCGAUUUGAUUUUUAAAAAAAAUGGGUUUGGAGUCAGGGAAAUUAGAUUGAAGGAAUUUGACUCUUUGAUUUAGAAUAAAUUAAAAUGCACUUGGGUGGUACAUUUCAAGGACCGGGGCACCUCGCCUGGAUCAUUAUUGUUUCAUAGUAUGGAAUGUUCCUGCUUAUGCUGCAAGUUAUUAGUCCGAAGUAUGUCAAUUAUUUGGUCCGAUAUAAGUUUAUUCCAAGAUGAGUCUUGAUUUAUUAAAUGGAACAACUAACAAGUGUCUAUUAUACGUGAACACUUAUAAAAUUUGAAAUUUAAAGGUCAGGUGGGUGAAAUGGAAUGAAUUAAAAAUUAACAUGUAUACACCAAACACGUUAGUGGCGGGUGAACUUGUAUAGACAAGUUCAUUUGGCGGAAUUCGGGGAUUACCACGAAUGAGGAAUUCUCUCAUGUGUGGCUCAAAACUCUGGGUAAUCUAUCCUCAGUACUGGGGAGGAUUAAUUUGGGGUUACCUCAGCGGUACCUGAGGGACCAGCUUGAUCUUUGUGGGUACCAAAGGCAAGUUUUGGGGCCUACCCCUGGGGGUAUUAUCCCCAUGUUGUUGUUGUAUUCCAGGGGAGGCAGGUAUAGAGUUAGGGCCCGAGUCAGAACUUGAAUUCAUUCAUUUGAUGUGGCACUCACUCUUGUUGGUACCAAGAGGUCUGUUCCCACCACAGUCACCUGUGGGGGCGCUAUCGCGCCAAGGAUCUAGGGAGGUCAUCCCGGUAGGCAGGUAGUGAUUCCCUGGGUUCCGCCGGGGUAUUUACAUCUAUGUAUAAAUAGAUUGUGACAAAUAGUCGCCACAAAAUGUAAUCAUUGUUUCACAAUAAAUGUGUAAAAUUAA